GCCAUCAUUUCCAAAGCCAAAUGCAAAUGUCCAUACUCCUACUCAAUCUCAAGGGUCUGCUGUUCACAUUGCCAUUCAUCCUGUUCUGUUUGUUCUUCCUCCUGUCCUAACUGUGAAUUUAUGUUAUUUCUCAUACAGCAUUUGAUCUAGAAACGUGAAAGCUAUUUGAGGUGUUUUUUCCUCCAUGGCUAUCACAAAUAAUAACGUGUGGUUUUAAAAAUUAUAUCUCCCAACUGCCUCAAAAGGCUAACUCUUCUUUAUUUCCAUAGCCAUUGUCCCUCAAAAGGCUAACUCUUCUUUAUUUCCAUAGCCAUUAUCCCUCUUCUGAUCACCUUGUUACAUUUCCCCCACGACCACAACCAACUUUUGUGAUCACCCUGCUUCUUGGAUUUGUCCAAACUGCAGAUAUGGUUAUGCCACCCCUGCUGUGGACUGAAUGUGUUCACCAAAAUUCAUAUUUGAAACUUAAUGGCCAAUGUGAUGAAAUUAAGAGAGCAUUCAUUUCUUCUGGAGGAUGCAGCAAGAAGGCAUCAUCUUGGAAGCAGAGAAUAGCCCUCAUCAGACACCAAACUUGCUGGAGCCUUGAUCUUGGACUUUACAUUCUCCAGAACAGUGAGCAAUAAAUUUUUAGUGUUUAUAAACUACCCAGUCUCAGGCAUUUUGUUAUAGCAGCUCAGACUAAGACAGACUAAGACAAUAUACAAUGCCUUAGUUUAAUACUUUAAUACUUUCAUGAAUAACAAUAGUAAAUAAAUGAAUACAAUUAUUUAAAUUAUGAGAUUGUUCAUUGUCUCAUUGUCUAGUCCUUACCUGUAUCUGUCUCUCUCCACAUUCUGAAAUCGACCUUGUGAUUUUUGCAUAAUUGUGUUAUACAUAACUGUAUACCCAGAUGUCCCUCAAUUUCAUAUAUAUGUUUACAAAAUAGACAUUUUAUCUUGCUCUUCUCUUUCCUUUUUAUUUGAUACUUUUCUUAUCUAUUAUUGGUUUAGCUAUUCCUAGUGGCCUAAAGAUGUAAUUUUAUUGCAAACAUCUGAACAACUCAAUAUAUUCUUCACACUCCCUGCUUACUUUAAAGCUUUAGUAUUUACACAGUUGGGGAUAUAUCUAUAUAGAAAUACUUAUCAGUGAAGUAAACCUUUUUUCCCUGAUGUUUCAUCUUAAUGGUAAAAUCAUCCUCCUGUUGCCAUUACACUCUUCAACUUAUGUAUAAGAAUUCUGUUAACUCUAAGCAGCAUGUUUAAAGUAGGUUAGUUCAAAGUUGUGAGAUGGUUGCACAUUUUCAGUAGGUCUAAAAAUUAAGUUCCACAUUGAAUUGUUUUAAAGCACUAUGGCAAACAUUAAAGUGUUUAAUUCAUUAUUGAAACACUUUCAUUACAGCAACAACAGUUUAACAUCCUGCAGUGGUAAUUCUAAAUGAAAAAUUAAGUAUAUAUUUGUGUUAGCUUAGGUGGUUUAUAUAUUCGAUGAUACAGUCUUGUUAUACAGGAUAUUGCUCUUCAGAGAGAGAGGCAUAUGCUUUCAAGUGAUUCAUUUAAAUGCAUCAAAUCAAUACAGAAUAUUUUUAGACUAAUUUUGUUUAAUUGAUUGAAGAUUUUUCAGAACUUUUUUUCCCAGGGAACUUUAGUACAACUAUGUCAGCACGAAUCAUGAAAAGAAUGCAUGAAUACAGUAAAGAGUUCCUAUUCAUUUUAAUUUUGAAAGAUCUAAACUUCAGGGGAAAAAUCCUUAAAACUACAAUAAAUAAUCAAGUAAAUGUAGGUAUACCAAUAAUACUGGAAAUGAAAUAGUAUUCCCCUUUUUGUUUUGU
rnacentral:lncRNA from 1 species